AAGAGGCUAAGACCACAUUCAUGUUGGAAAAAAAAACAUAAGAGCACAAUGUAUUGACUAUUGAGCAUGAUGGCAGCUGAUGAAGUGUCAAUAGUGAAGAAGUGUUUUUGAUAUUCUUUAAUUUCCCAGUAUUUGAUUCGUUUUCAUUUAUUUUCAUUUUGCAGGUUGAAGGUCCCAGCUGUAUUCUGUCCUCUUCAGAUCAAUGAAUGAUGUUUAUCACACCCUUGAAUAAAUAGACAACGUGGGACAUCAAACUUAGUAAGUUUCUGCAUGCCCUAUUGAACGGAGAGUCUUGUCUGUCUCCACGUCCACCGGUUAUGGCUAUUGGAUGUCCCGACAGGGGUUUGUGUCCAUGGCUGUGUGCGCUGGAGCCUCACAUUUGGUGACAGCAUUGGGAUGGACCAGAGGCAUUGAAGAAGGGGACAGUGCAGGACGAUGGACGAAGUGUCGCAGAAUUUUGCCCCGCGAAGGAUGAGCGACUGUGUGAAAACCAAACAAAGAUCUCAUUAACUGCUGAUUAAGAAAGAGGCUGGAAUGAAAGCUGCAGCCACGAUGACCCUCCAGUAUCUGAACCUGACUCCCCGUCCUGGACCGUGUGCCCCCCAUGUGUGAGGUCUACACAGACUGUUAAUGCCCACGGAUCUCUGCAGCCCUACGCAGUCUACAGACUAGGGAAGGAAAAUGGAGGACGUCGAAAGGCCAGUGUGACGUUAAUUCGUGUGGCACUGUUCUUCUACCUCCCUUCUCUUCUGCUGCUACUAACGCUAAGACCGACACCUCAGAUACCGGCAUGGGUGACGUGUUGAGCCAAGUCGUCGAAGGAGCUGAACACCCC